CCGAUGCAAACUGCGAAUACCGGAGAAUGUUAUCACGGGAGACACACGGCGGGUGCUAACGUCCGUCGUGAAGAGGGAAACAACCCAGACCGCCAGCUAAGGUCCCAAAGUCAUGGUUAAGUGGGAAACGAUGUGGGAAGGCCCAGACAGCCAGGAUGUUGGCUUAGAAGCAGCCAUCAUUUAAAGAAAGCGUAAUAGCUCACUGGUCGAGUCGGCCUGCGCGGAAGAUGUAACGGGGCUAAACCAUGCACCGAAGCUGCGGCAGCGACACUGUGUGUUGUUGGGUAGGGGAGCGUUCUGUAAGCCUGUGAAGGUGUACUGUGAGGUAUGCUGGAGGUAUCAGAAGUGCGAAUGCUGACAUAAGUAACGAUAAAGCGGGUGAAAAGCCCGCUCGCCGGAAGACCAAGGGUUCCUGUCCAACGUUAAUCGGGGCAGGGUGAGUCGACCCCUAAGGCGAGGCCGAAAGGCGUAGUCGAUGGGAAACAGGUUAAUAUUCCUGUACUUGGUGUUACUGCGAAGGGGGGACGGAGAAGGCUAUGUUGGCCGGGCGACGGUUGUCCCGGUUUAAGCGUGUAGGCUGGUUUUCCAGGCAAAUCCGGAAAAUCAAGGCUGAGGCGUGAUGACGAGGCACUACGGUGCUGAAGCAACAAAUGCCCUGCUUCCAGGAAAAGCCUCUAAGCAUCAGGUAACAUCAAAUCGUACCCCAAACCGACACAGGUGGUCAGGUAGAGAAUACCAAGGCGCUUGAGAGAACUCGGGUGAAGGAACUAGGCAAAAUGGUGCCGUAACUUCGGGAGAAGGCACGCUGAUAUGUAGGUGAAGUCCCUCGCGGAUGGAGCUGAAAUCAGUCGAAGAUACCAGCUGGCUGCAACUGUUUAUUAAAAACACAGCACUGUGCAAACACGAAAGUGGACGUAUACGGUGUGACGCCUGCCCGGUGCCGGAAGGUUAAUUGAUGGGGUCAGCGCAAGCGAAGCUCUUGAUCGAAGCCCCGGUAAACGGCGGCCGUAACUAUAACGGUCCUAAGGUAGCGAAAUUCCUUGUCGGGUAAGUUCCGACCUGCACGAAUGGCGUAAUGAUGGCCAGGCUGUCUCCACCCGAGACUCAGUGAAAUUGAACUCGCUGUGAAGAUGCAGUGUACCCGCGGCAAGACGGAAAGACCCCGUGAACCUUUACUAUAGCUUGACACUGAACAUUGAGCCUUGAUGUGUAGGAUAGGUGGGAGGCUUUGAAGUGUGGACGCCAGUCUGCAUGGAGCCGACCUUGAAAUACCACCCUUUAAUGUUUGAUGUUCUAACGUGGACCCGUGAUCCGGGUUGCGGACAGUGUCUGGUGGGUAGUUUGACUGGGGCGGUCUCCUCCUAAAGAGUAACGGAGGAGCACGAAGGUUGGCUAAUCCUGGUCGGACAUCAGGAGGUUAGUGCAAUGGCAUAAGCCAGCUUGACUGCGAGCGUGACGGCGCGAGCAGGUGCGAAAGCAGGUCAUAGUGAUCCGGUGGUUCUGAAUGGAAGGGCCAUCGCUCAACGGAUAAAAGGUACUCCGGGGAUAACAGGCUGAUACCGCCCAAGAGUUCAUAUCGACGGCGGUGUUUGGCACCUCGAUGUCGGCUCAUCACAUCCUGGGGCUGAAGUAGGUCCCAAGGGUAUGGCUGUUCGCCAUUUAAAGUGGUACGCGAGCUGGGUUUAGAACGUCGUGAGACAGUUCGGUCCCUAUCUGCCGUGGGCGCUGGAGAACUGAGGGGGGCUGCUCCUAGUACGAGAGGACCGGAGUGGACGCAUCACUGGUGUUCGGGUUGUCAUGCCAAUGGCACUGCCCGGUAGCUAAAUGCGGAAGAGAUAAGUGCUGAAAGCAUCUAAGCACGAAACUUGCCCCGAGAUGAGUUCUCCCUGACCCUUUAAGGGUCCUGAAGGAACGUUGAAGACGACGACGUUGAUAGGCCGGGUGUGUAAGCGCAGCGAUGCGUUGAGCUAACCGGUACUAAUGAACCGUGAGGCUUAACCUUACAACGCCGAAGGUGUUU
rnacentral:rRNA from 1 species